GUCAUCUUUCAGUUGUUGGAGUUCAAGAAUGGCUACAAAGUACAUUGUUGGUUCAGUGUUGGCAUCAUUUGCAGUUGCAUAUGCAUUUGAUGUUGUUAUAGCUGACAAGAAGGUUUUUGGAGGCAGUACUCCGCAUACCGUUGCAAACAACGAAUGGUGGAAAGAGACGGACAAAAAAUUCCAGGCAUGGCCUCGCACUGCUGGUCCUCCGGUGGUCAUGAACCCUAUAAGCCGCCAAAAUUACAUUGUCAAGUCUUGAAUGAGGAUAUUCGCACCUGCGCUUGAUUAAGAUGUCUGGUCUCAGUUUCCUGUCGAGUAGUUGUGUGAUAUUUCGAUUGUAAUAAAUGUUUCUCUGUUUGUGCAAUGACGGGUGUUGUCUUGUAUCAUUGUAUCGACUAUCGACUAUGAAAGGAUACAUGAUCAAAUGGAUAAAUGGAGCUACUUAUUUUGUUGA